GUACCAGUACCCGGGCUCAAGGAAAAAUAGCCAAGUCCCAGUGAGGUGCACUGAAGCUGUUAACAAAGCUGAUAACAAUGUUUACCGAAACUGCAGUGCCUGGACUCCAAAACAAGCUUGAGAGUGCCAGUAUACUGCAGAAAAGAGCAUCUCAGAAAUGAUGACAGGGUCCUGUGUUAAAGACCGUGAGAAAUAGCAUCUAGAGGUAUGUGCUGGCGGGAGUAUCUGCAGUAUGGUAACUAGAAGGUGCAAACUGCAACAUGUUUCCUGGUAGAUUCUGCAGGAACUGGCUUAAUGACCAACAGGCUAUGGGAAGAGAGGGGUUAACUACAAACACUGGAAAUCCUAGUGUUAUGGUAUAUGCUGGCAGGAGUAUCUGCAGUAUAGAAACUAGGAGGUGCAAACUGCAAAAU